GCAACCGCUCGCGAAUCCUCCCGCCUUUUUCGCAACCGCGCUCGUCGUUCCAUUCUCGAAUUCUGACAGAACACAAGUUUGAAUUUUGAAGUGAAACAUUUUGUGCCAGUUCUAAUUAUUUUUAAUUUUCGUUCCAAAGAGUUUGGAUGACACUGAUGGAUGUUUGAUCGCAAUGUGAAAGAAGACGAAACAAUAAAAGUGCAUCAUCAAAAUAAAUAGUGGUUCAAAUAUAAACCGGACAAUACCAUAGUGUUGCGAUUGUGAUGUCAGUGAAUAACCACGUGAUUGACGCAAAAAUGCAGUGGGCUGGUGGGGGGGCGGGAGGCGAGCUGAUUGGAUGUCGCGGUGAUUUAUCGCAUUCGGGUGUCAGCUUUCAUUGAGGUCGGACGUCUGCGGUCAAAAUGUCGGCAGGGUCAGCGGUCGCCAUGAUUGGCGCGAACCUCCGGUUCGGGUCCGCCGGCGCCACCAACUCCACCAUCCUGAACAACACGCGGC